rnacentral:rRNA from 1 species
UGGGGAAUAUUGGACAAUGGGCGAAAGCCUGAUCCAGCCAUGCCGCGUGUGUGAAGAAGGUCUUCGGAUUGUAAAGCACUUUAAGUUGGGAGGAAGGGCAUUAACCUAAUACGUUAGUGUUUUGACGUUACCGACAGAAUAAGCACCGGCUAACUCUGUGCCAGCAGCCGCGGUAAUACAGAGGGUGCAAGCGUUAAUCGGAAUUACUGGGCGUAAAGCGCGCGUAGGUGGUUUGUUAAGUUGGAUGUGAAAGCCCCGGGCUCAACGUGGGAACUGCAUCCAAAACUGGCAAGCUAGAGUACGGUAGAGGGUGGUGGAAUUUCCUGUGUAGCGGUGAAAUGCGUAGAUAUAGGAAGGAACACCAGUGGCGAAGGCGACCACCUGGACUGAUACUGACACUGAGGUGCGAAAGCGUGGGGAGCAAACA